UACGUAGGUGGCAAGCGUUGUCCGGAAUUAUUGGGCGUAAAGCGCGCGCAGGCGGCCUCUUAAGUCUGAUGUGAAAUCUUGCGGCUCAACCGCAAGCGGCCAUUGGAAACUGGGGGGCUUGAGUACAGAAGAGGAGAGUGGAAUUCCACGUGUAGCGGUGAAAUGCGUAGAUAUGUGGAGGAACACCAGUGGCGAAGGCGACUCUCUGGUCUGUAACUGACGCUGAGACGCGAAAGCGUGGGGAGCAAACAGG
rnacentral:rRNA from 1 species